ACAGGAAACACCAAAACUCUGUACAAAAACCUUUGGAGCAAAGACAACACAAUACUCCACAACAUCCACCAGAGGGAGUCACACACUGUUAAACUACAAUAGUUUUCAUGAUGGAGUCUAGAAUCACUUUACGGAGAGACUCAGGGAGGAGCUGAGCUGUUACUGAACUAUAGAAGAGAGAGGAACUUCUAUAUUCAACAGAGAUCAAUACACAAACCAUCAACAUUACCUUUAUUCAACAUGCUGUCACUGCAGCAUUGUGUGUUUUCUCUGAUCUUUCUCUCCAUUCUAACAGGUAUCAGCUGUGAAGAACUCACUCCAGUCCAGAAAGAAGAGAACAGUUUAGAAGGCAGCUCUGUUACUCU